rnacentral:rRNA from 1 species
AUGAACGCUGGCGGCUUGCCUAAUCCCUUCAAGUCGAGCGAACGGACGAGAAUCUUUCUUCUCUUAUGUUAGCGGCGUACUGUUUAUUAACACUUUUUUAACCUACCUAUCAUACUUGGAUAACUUCGGGAAACCGGAGCUAAUUCCUGAUUAUUUUUUUAACCUCCUGUUUCACUAGUUAAAUACUGUCUUUCUGUCACUUAUACAUUGAUCCGCGCUGCAUUAGCUAGUUGGUAAGGUAACGGCUUACCAAGGCAACGAUGCAUAGACGACCUUAGAGGGUGAGCGGGCACACUGGAACAGAGAAACGGUCAAGAGUCCUAAGGGAGGCAGCAGUAGGGAAUAUUACGCAAUGGGCGAAAGCCUGACGGAGCAAAGCCGCGUGAGUGAUGAAGGUCUUCGGAUCGUAAAACUCUGUUAUUAGGGAAGAACAGAUGUGUAAGUAACUGUGCACAUCUUGACGGUAACAAAUCAGAAAGCCACGGCUAACUACGUG